GUGUGGAUGAAAUGAGCAUUCAAGGGAGGCCGAAGUUCCAUGUUUCUGCUGUGAUCAGGUCUCUUGCUCUCUGUCUAGAGGCUCACAGCCCCCACAGACUUCUUAGAUACCCCUCACAGAUGAAAAUGACGAAGUCUAAGGGACACAGUCAGGGACAGCCCAGUCUCCACCGGUGUGUCUGCGAAUGUUCACACUCAUCUGCAUGUGUGUGGGGGUGUAUCUGCAGGCCAGAAGAUGAUGUCAAGUAUCUUCUCCAGUUGCUUCUCCGGUUGGUAUUUUGAGACAAGGUCUGAACCUGAGGCUCAUUGAUUAAUUGGCUGGGCUGGCUGGCCAGUGAGCUUCUGGGAUUCUCAGGUUUCUGCCUCCCAGUGCUGGGAUUAUAGUUAGGUAUCUGCAACAGUGAAGAAGCAGAUGGCCGGUAGUGUGGAUGAUGAUGGGUGACUAGCAACAUGCUUUAAUCCAGUGAUUCUGUGCAGCAAUUUUGGAGAAAUGGCCAGAAACUUGAUGACAUUCCUCCUCCCAACAGAUAGAGUCUGGAUAUGUGUUCACUUGUGAACUCAGAAAGCCUUAUGACCGUUUUCACCAAUAAACUAUAAUGGAAUGAAGCUACUUGAAUUCUGAGGGUGGGUCAUAAGAGGCCAUGUGGGUUCUGCUUGGUUCUCUUAGAAUAUUCAUUCUCAGGAAUCCCAAACAACAUGCUGUAUGAAGUCUGAACCACACAUAGUUGCUCCAGGCCACACUAUGAGAGAACCAUCUCGGCCCAGAUCCCAGGGGUGGACAUACAGGAGGUUUCCCUAGCCAUCUGAGAAGCUCUUGCUGAGAGUCUAAGACAAGCCACUCCUGCUGUGUUCUGCUCACGUUCCUGAUCCACAGCAUCUACACUCAUGAUAAAGUGGUUGUUCCGGCCACUGAAUUUGCAGGGGGUUGCUAUAUUGUGGUAGGUACCUAGAAUAAUGAGGAAUAUGUACUUCUAGUUUGGGACUUCAGGUUUUCUUUGCAGCUUAUACAUAAACUUGAUAGGGUACCCCCAAAGUUAUGAGCUCCACCCUGCUACCCUUUCUGCCUUUUGCUACUGUUUUUGCAAACCACUGUUAAAAUCAGUAAGUUGUAGGCUUCUCUUGAUGUUAUCUGUUGGAGCAGCCGGGAUACUUUUCACAGGACAGUAGCAUUGUCACUCAGGGGAGACACAGGAGCUCAGCAUUUCUUGAGGGGCUGUUUAGAGAUUCUAAAAGAUAAAUGAAGCUUUUAGUGUACCCUUGACUAAAGAAUGGUCCUCCAUUAGGGAAGGUCAUCUUCUGUGACUGAGCACUCAACUCUGGAUGCACAUGCGAUGGCAGAAGAAGGGGACACCUACCUAGCCAGUCAUAUCAGGUGACCAAUGGCAUGACAGAUGUUGCAAACAGAUCAUCUUCACAUCUGGAGUUUGGUAUUUCUUCAUAAAAAAUGAGAAGACUUAAGGAACCCUCUUCCUUGAUGUGGUUGGGACUUCCGGUCCUUAGCAUGUUCUACAGUGGUAGGCACUAACCUUGGGCAGGUUGAAGAUCUAGCAAGUGUGAAAGGCAGAGAUUGGAAGUUGUGUUAUUAAUCUAGGUAAAUUAGCACCCUGGUCCCAUUCCUGGGAUGUGACUGUACCCCUUUUAACCCAUUUCUUCUCUCUAUGAUGCAUGACAUUACACAGGGAUAUAAUAGGUAAAUAUAAAGUGAAUGACAUAAUAAAUACAGUUGUUGGAUUUUACUUACACUUAAAAUCAUUUCUAAUGCCACUUGAAAUGAUCUGGAGAAAAUGGUGUUUACUGGAAUUUUCCUGAGAAAGAAAAAUGCAUCUUUAGAGAAUGCAUUUUUAAAAACUACAUUUAUGAUGCCUAGAGAGAUUGCUCAGGGCUUAAGAGCACUUGCUAUUCUUGCAGAAGAUUAGGUUCUAUUCCCAGCACCCACAUGGUGGCUCACACCCAUCUGUAACUCCAAUUCCAGAGAACCCAAUGCCCUCUUCUGGCUUCUGAGGGAACGGCAUGCUUGUGGUGCACAUACAUGCAGGCAAAAUAUUCAUAAAAUAAAAAUGUAAACACAUCUUUAAAAAUUACAUAUCUUUAUUUUACAUGUACACAUGCAUACUACAACACAUCCAUAGAGGUCAGAGGACAGCUUAUUGAAUCAGUUCUUUCCUACCACAUGGACUCAAGUCAUCAGGCUUGUCAGCAAGUACUUCUACCUACUGAGUCAUCUCACAGCUUCCUCCACCUCCCUGAAAGCAUUUUGUAAGCACAUGGGGUUGUACUGUGGUUCCUGAGGAGUGAGGCUAUUUCCUAACUGUGCGUGACACAAGAGGAUUCUGUUGGUGGUUCCAGAAAUACAGAGAGUAUUUCUGGACACACUUUUUUUGUGUAUCCCCAUGACUUCAGGGAGCUUCUCUAGAGUCCAAGAUAUUCCAUCUGAAUGGGAGAAUUUCCUAUGGAAGCCGAUGAGGGUCUGAAAGUAUCAGGGCAUCAGAACGGGGGAUAGAGAAGCAACAGGCCCAGGAAGAAACAGAGGAAAUGAAUCUUUGAGCUCAUGGGUGUUGGGAGGGCACUCAGUUGAACUGAGUCUCUGAGUGGCAAGACCAUCUCAGGACUAGGUUUUUUCCCUCCUUCCUCCCUCUUCUUCUUCCCCCUCCUCCUCUUCCCCCCUCUUUCUCUUUAAAAACAAAACUAGAACACAUCAGGAGCAACUGAUUGAGUCAAAUCACCGAGAAAGCCACUGAGCCUGAGUCUUUGGCCUCUCAGCUAAGUUAAAGAAUCUUUUUGGCCUGUGAGCAUUUCUAUUACUUAGUAAAAAUUUCAGAGAUUUUACUCACAAAUCCUGGCACUUUCUCCAGAAAUAAUAUUAUUGGCAAGGAAAGAUUGAUAAAAUAAAAAAAUAAUGUAAGAAAUGUAUUUGUUUACCUAGAAUAUAAUUUCUUUUCAUACUGACCCAAUUUCUCCUUAGAUCUUGGGUUUGUGACUAUCUGAAUGAUGUUAUUAUUUCACCUUAGGUGAUUUUAUUUUUUCUGUUCUAGGAAACAAGAAAUAAGUCAAACUCUAGAAUUUGUUUAAAAAACUUG